rnacentral:rRNA from 1 species
GAUGAACGCUGGCGGCGUGCUUAACACAUGCAAGUCGAACGGAAAGGCUCCUGCUUGCAGGGGUACUCGAGUGGCGAACGGGUGAGUAACACGUGGGUGAUCUGCCCUGCACUUCGGGAUAAGCCUGGGAAACUGGGUCUAAUACCGGAUAGGACGAUGGUUUGGAUGCCAUUGUGGAAAGUUUUUUCGGUGUGGGAUGAGCUCGCGGCCUAUCAGCUUGUUGGUGGGGUAAUGGCCUACCAAGGCGUCGACGGGUAGCCGGCCUGAGAGGGUGUACGGCCACAUUGGGACUGAGAUGCGGCCCAGACUCCUACGGGAGGCAGCAGUGCGGAAUAUUGCACAAUGGGCGCAAGCCUGAUGCAGCGACGCCGCGUGGGGGAUGACGGCCUUCGGGUUGUAAACUACUUUCGCUAGGGACGAAGCGCAAGUGACGGUACCUGGAGAAGAAGCACCGGCUAACUACGUG